rnacentral:misc_RNA from 1 species
AAUGUAAAUCAAAUUGCAACCCAUAAUGUUUUUCUCAUCAACACUAAUGACUUUUACUAAUGCAGGUUAAUAAGUCUAGUUAACUAUUAAAGGCCAUUGGCCCUAAUUCCUAACUUUAAAAUGAGUUAUUUCACUCAGAAUUAUAGUAGUACCCUUAAGCUAUGAUUUAGAGGGUAAAAGAUAGGGUUGUGUUCAGCCAGAUCCAGGUUUAGUAUAUUACCAACCAAAA